rnacentral:rRNA from 1 species
AGUGAACGCUGGCGGUAGGCCUAACACAUGCAAGUCGAACGGCAGCACAGUAAGAGCUUGCUCUUACUGGUGGCGAGUGGCGGACGGGUGAGGAAUACAUCGGAAUCUACUUUUUCGUGGGGGAUAACGUAGGGAAACUUACGCUAAUACCGCAUACGACCUACGGGUGAAAGCAGGGGAUCUUCGGACCUUGCGCGAUUGAAUGAGCCGAUGUCGGAUUAGCUAGUUGGCGGGGUAAAGGCCCACCAAGGCGACGAUCCGUAGCUGGUCUGAGAGGAUGAUCAGCCACACUGGAACUGAGACACGGUCCAGACUCCUACGGGAGGCAGCAGUGGGGAAUAUUGGACAAUGGGCGCAAGCCUGAUCCAGCCAUACCGCGUGGGUGAAGAAGGCCUUCGGGUUGUAAAGCCCUUUUGUUGGGAAAGAAAAGCAGCAGGCUAAUACCCCGCUGUUCUGACGGUACCCAAAGAAUAAGCACCGGCUAACUUCGU